UACGAAGGGGGCUAGCGUUGCUCGGAAUUACUGGGCGUAAAGGGCGCGUAGGCGGCACUGUUAGUCAGGCGUGAAAUUCCUGGGCUCAACCUGGGGACUGCGCUUGAUACGGCAGAGCUAGAGGAUGGAAGAGGCUCGCGGAAUUCCCAGUGUAGAGGUGAAAUUCGUAGAUAUUGGGAAGAACACCGGUGGCGAAGGCGGCGAGCUGGUCCAUUACUGACGGCUGAGGCGCGACAGCGUGGGGAGCAAACAGG
rnacentral:rRNA from 1 species